AAUUUUACAUAUAUAGUACCAAGGCUUCCAAAUAAUUCUAUAUGAACUGCUGCUGCAACUUCAAUUCAUUUCUAAAACUUUAGCCGCUACAACUUAAACUAAAUAAUAAAAACGUAUGAAAAUAUAUAAUGUGAGAUGGAAAUGAAAAUGAAGCAAAGCUUAUAGGGUGUGAUUGGAUGCUGCCAGCAGAACCCAAUCAUCUCUGCCUUUCCAUUCAGUGAAGCAAAUUAAAAACCAUGCAUAA